rnacentral:rRNA from 1 species
AACGAACGCUGGCGGCAUGCCUAACACAUGCAAGUCGAACGAGACCUUCGGGUCUAGUGGCGCACGGGUGCGUAACGCGUGGGAACCUGCCCUUAGGUUCGGAAUAACUCCCCGAAAGGGCUGCUAAUACCGGAUAAUGUCUUCGGACCAAAGAUUUAUCGCCUUUGGAUGGGCCCGCGUUGGAUUAGCUAGUUGGUAGGGUAAAAGCCUACCAAGGCGACGAUCCAUAGCUGGUCUGAGAGGAUGAUCAGCCACACUGGGACUGAGACACGGCCCAGACUCCUACGGGAGGCAGCAGUGGGGAAUAUUGGACAAUGGGCGAAAGCCUGAUCCAGCAAUGCCGCGUGAGUGAUGAAGGCCUUAGGGUUGUAAAGCUCUUUUACCCGGGAUGAUAAUGACAGUACCGGGAGAAUAAGCUCCGGCUAACUCCGUG